rnacentral:rRNA from 1 species
AAAUUGAAGAGUUUGAUCAUGGCUCAGAUUGAACGCUGGCGGCAGGCCUAACACAUGCAAGUCGAACGGUAACAGAAAGCAGCUUGCUGCUUUGCUGACGAGUGGCGGACGGGUGAGUAAUGUCUGGGAAACUGCCUGAUGGAGGGGGAUAACUACUGGAAACGGUAGCUAAUACCGCAUAACGUCGCAAGACCAAAGAGGGGGACCUUAGGGCCUCUUGCCAUCGGAUGUGCCCAGAUGGGAUUAGCUAGUAGGUGGGGUAAAGGCUCACCUAGGCGACGAUCCCUAGCUGGUCUGAGAGGAUGACCAGCCACACUGGAACUGAGACACGGUCCAG